UACGUGGUGAUGUUUAAGGUUGCACCGCGCCAAUUUGCAAACGCUGGCACAGUAGUAAACUUUUCAAACGACACGUUAUUAACAUCUCUGUGAAAUACAUCAUGAACAAAAACACGGCGAGAAUACCAGUAAAACGAGCGCUCCAGUUAUUAGAGGAAACUACAGAAGAAAACAAGAAUGAAGAGACGCCGGCGAAAAGGCAACGCGGAACUGGUACGAGAUCAUUUUCUCCAGUGACUGGCACCUGUCAGUUGAGUCUUACGUCAACUCCCCCGCCCGUCAGCAAAGGAAUUGAUGAAGCCCAGUCAAGGGGCGUGGACCACAAGUCACAAACGGACGACUUAAAUGCAUUGAGAUCCAAAGUGGAAAAGGGUGUGCAAGCGUUUCAGAAUGCCAGGAGAAAGCUGAAGCACUUGCAGUGGCACAAGUUGAGAAAGGGCUCGGACAGACUGGGAUUGGACCCCCGAAAGCCAUGAUUCAAUUUGGAAGCAGUUAUGAAUUCCUGAAAUCCAUCCUCAGUUAAGGUAAGGUGUCGAAUGAGCGUCGAUGCAAGCCUUGAAGACUGGAUACAUGCAUUGAAUAAAAAAUAAAAUAGUGUUCUGCUUUGAUUUUUAUUAGAAA